rnacentral:SRP_RNA from 1 species
GCUGGGUGUGGUGGCGCACACCUGUAAUCCCAGCACUUUGGGAGGCUGAGGCAGGCGGAUCACCUGAGGUCAGGAGUUCAAGACCAGCCUGGCCAACAUGGUGAAACCCCGUCUCUA